rnacentral:lncRNA from 1 species
GGAGAGGGAGAGGGGAGCAUUCCAGCUUCUUGCCCCACCCCCAACCCACCCUCAUCCCUCUGGCUUUCUAAUAACAAACUCUGGAGAACUCUGUGCUGGGGCAAUGGUGUGUGCCCAUAGAGAGGGCUCUGAGAGCUUCCUCUGGCACGUGUGCCAUAGGUUUGCCACUAUGGAUCUAAGGGGUAUUAUGAAAAUGUCUGAUUAUGAAGAGAUGCCAUCCAGUCAUUCACCAGACUAUGAUCUACUCCAGAUGCACUUGCCCUUUUGGGAAGUGGGAAAUGAAACACCAGAAUCAGAUUCAAGCAAAACUGAGUUCCAAUCCUUCAAAAGGGAAAAAAGUUGGAGAGCAAGAUAGGAGAAGUCAAAAGAAGGGACUCAGUUCCUGAAAAUGAUCCAUGAACCAAAUGCCCUAAGAAGCUCUCCUUCACUGAAGUGGUCCUGGAGAAAUGCUGCUGGGUUUGGAGUCACUGAAUCAUACAAUCUUGACUGGAAGGGAGCCCGGACGUCAUUGCAGUAUAUCUUGUACCUGAAUAGGAAUUCCCCAUUCAACCUCCUCAAGAUGUGGCCAUCCAAUGUCUACUUUAAUGAUUUUUAAAUUGGAUUCCACGAACUUUUUUUUUGUUUUGAUAUUUUAAUAACUAGACUUCAACAUAACCAGUUUCCUUUAUAGUUCUAUAUAUUUUAUUUUAUGCAUUUAAAAGAGGUGCAUAGACUUUACCAGACUGUCAAAGGAGUUCAAGGAUACCAAAAAAGGUUAAUUCAUGAUCUACCUACAGAGACAUGCUGAGAGAAAACCCUCCUCGUUCCUGAGUGAGCCCAGUCCACUUUAAGGCAGUGUGAACUUUAGAGACUUGUAGAUUUUUCAGAAGGUUUAAGAUCAUAAAUACUUUUUUGAGAAAAGAUUUGGCAGUAUGCACAGCUCCAGAAUUAAUAUUUGAAGAAUACCUUGUGAAUGUGCACCUCUAGAGAAAGAACUGAUAUAUAGAAACAUGAAAGACAUAAUUUAUAUAUACAUAUUUUUUUGAUGGAUGAUGUUUUCUGUGGUGCAGAAAAGGGAGAGUGAGAUACCUGGGAAUCUGAAUAAAACCAACUAAUUAAUUAAUUAACUUUAAAGG